rnacentral:lncRNA from 1 species
UUUUUUUUUUUUUUUUUUUUUUUUUUUUGGUUGGAUGGUCUCCUGUUAUUAUCUGCUUGAGUUUUUUUUUUUUUUCAUUUUUUGCAAAUGCAAUAUUUGGUUUUGGCUUGUGGUUGCCCUGUUUUUUAAGUAUGCUAACCCCUUCCCAUAAUUGUGUGUUUUAGCCUGAUGGUCCUGUAAGUUCAAACACUUCAUUACUAUAUUAAAAUUAAGAAGAGAAACAUACAAACAAACAAAAAGGGUUAUUUACUUCCUAACAUCCCUUGCCCACAUUUUAUGGUUUUGAUGACUCUUUUUUAUUUUUUUCUUUUUAAUUUUAUUUUGUUUGAAGCAUGUUCAUGAUUAAAUCUGUAUGCUGGCUUAUUUGAGUGACUGCUCUCUGAUUGCGGUUUCCUCAGUCCUAGUUCUUCCUCUUCUUCUUCUUUUUUUUUUUUUUUUUUUCUUUUCUUUUUUCUUCCCUUUCCUUCCUUUCUUUUUGGUUUAGAGAAGCCCUUUCAAUAUUUCCUUUAACCUGGGUUUUGUGUUGCUGUAUUCUUUAAGUUUUUGUUUGUUGGGAAAAAUUUUUAUUUCCCCUUCUAUUUUAAAUGAUAUUCUUGCUGGAUAGAGUAUUCUAGGUUGCAUAUUUUUUCCUUUGAGCACUUUAAAUAUCUCUUGCCAUUCCCUCCUGGCCUGUAGUGUUUCUGUAGAGAAAUCAGCUGAUAUUCUUAUGGGGGUUCCCUUGUAGGUAACAUUCUGUUUUUCUCUUGCUGCCUUUAGGAUCCUCUCUUUAUCACUAACUUUUGCCAUUUUUAUUAUGAUGUGUCUUGGUGUGGGUCUGUUUGGGUUCAGUUUGUUUGGGGCUGUAAGAUUCUAGAAAAUUGUCCAUUUCUUCCAGAUUGUCAAACUUGUUGCCAUAUAGUUGUUCAUAGUAUGCUCUUAUGGUUUUUUGUAUUUCUGCUGUAUCCGUUGUGAUUUCUCCUUUUUCAUUUAUAAUUUUGGUUAUUUGGGUUCUUUCUCUCCUCUUUUUAGUGAGUCUGGCCAGGGGUUUGUCAAUUUUGUUCACCUUUUCAAAGAACCAGCUCUUGGUUUUAUUAAUUUUCUCUAUUGUUUUUUGAGUCUCUAUUUUAUUGAUUUCUUCUUUGAUCUUUAUAAUUUCCUUCCUUCUGCUGACUUUAGGACUUUUUUGUUCUUCUUUUUCUAAUUCGUUUAGGUGGAGGGUUAAGUUGUCAAUUUGGGAUCUUUCUUCUUUUUUGAGAAAGGCCUGUAUUGCUAUAAAUUUCCCUCUGAGCACUGCUUUCGCAGCAUCCCAUAGAUUUUGAGAGGUUGUGUCUUCAUUAUCAUUUGUUUCAAGGUAGUUUUUAAUUUCCUUCUUGAUUUCCUCAUUGACCCAUUGGUUUUUUAGUAGCAUGUUGUUUAGUCUCCAUGGAGUAGGUUUUUUCUCUUUGCUUUUCCCAUGGUUGAUUUCUAAUUUCAUGGCAUUGUGGUCAGAGAAGAUACUUGAGAUAAUUUCUAUGCUCCUAAAUUUAUUGAGAUUCGCUUUGUGUCCCAAUAUGUGGUCGAUUCUUGAGAAUGUUCCAUGAGCAUUUGAGAAGAAUGUGUAUUCUGCUUUUUUUGGAUGUAGUGUCCUGAAGAUAUCAAUUAAGUCUAACUUUUCUAUUGUUUCCUUUAGGAUCUCUGUUGCUUUAUUGGUUUUCUGUCUAGAGGAUCUGUCCAUUGAUGUGAGGGGGGUAUUAAGGUCUCCUACUAUGAUUGUAUUCUCAUCAAUAUCUCCCUUUAUGUCUGUUAAUAUUUGUUGUAUGUAUCUGGGUGCUCCUAUAUUUGGGGCAUAUAUGUUGAUGAUAGUAACAUCCUCUCCUUGGAUGGAUCCCUUAAUCAUUAAAUAGUGUCCUUCUUUGUCUUUCUUUAUGUCUUUUGUUUUAAAGUCUAUUUUGUCUGAUAUGAGCGUUGCGACUCCUGCUUUUCUGUCAUGUCUAUUGGCGUGAAAUAUUUUUCCCCACCCUUUCACUUUCAAUCUAUAUGUAUCUUUUGUCCUAAGGUGAGUUUCUUGUAGGCAGCAUAUUGAAGGUUUUUGCCUUUUUAUCCACUCAGCCACUCUGUGUCUUUUGAUUGGGGCAUUCAGUCCAUUGACAUUUAAGGUGAUAAUUGAUAGAUGAUUAUUUAUUGCCAUUUGAACCUCGUGUUCCAGUUGAUUCUAUGGUUCUCCAUUCUUCCUUUCUUUUUUUUUUUUUUUUUUGGUUGGAUGGUCUCCUGUUAUUAUCUGCUUGAGUGUAUUUUUUUUUUCAUUUUUUGCAAAUGCAAUAUUUGGUUUUGGCUUGUGGUUGCCCUGUUUUUUAAGUAUGCUAACCCCUUCCCAUAAUUGUGUGUUUUAGCCUGAUGGUCCUGUAAGUUCAAACACUUCAUUACUAUAUUAAAAUUAAGAAGAGAGACAUACAUACAAACAAAAAGGGUUAUUUACCUCCUAACAUCCCUUGCCCACAUUUUAUGGUUUUGAUGACUCUUUUUUAUUUUUUUCUUUUUAAUUUUAUUUUGUUUGAAGCAUGUUCAUGAUUAAAUCUGUAUGCUGGCUUAUUUGAGUGACUGCUCUCUGAUUGCGGUUUCCUCAGUCCUAGUUCUUCCUCUUCUUCUUCUUUUUUUUUUUUUUUUUU